rnacentral:rRNA from 1 species
GCGCACCAGGCGCGAAACCUCCACAAUGCGGGAAACCGUGAUGGGGGAAUCCGAGUGCCCGUUGGCUAAUGCUGGCGGGCUUUUCUCAAGCGUAAAAGGCUUGAGGAAUAAGGACUGGGUAAGACCGGUGCCAGCCGCCGCGGUAACACCGGCGGUCCAACUGGUGAUCAGCAUUACUGGGCCUAAAGCGUCCGUAGCCGGAUGGUUGGAUUCUGAGUGAAAUUUCCCAGCUCAACUGGGAAGCGUGCUUGGAACACCCGCCAUCUUGGGACCGGGAG